GAAAUGCGAUAAGUCAUGUGAAUUGCAGAAUUCAGUGAAUCAUCGAAUCUUUGAACGCACAUUGCGCCCGCCAGCACUCUGGCGGGCCUGCCUGUUCGAGCGUCAUUUCAACCAUCAAGCCCCCGGGCUUGCGUAUGGGACCUGCGGCUGCCCGCAGGCGCUGAAAACCAGUGGCGGGCUCGCUGUCACCCCGGUCGUAGUAGUAUCAUCUCGUCAAGGGCGUGGCUAAGGGCUCCGGCCGUUAAACCUUCUCAAACACAAAGGUUGACCUCGGAUCUGGUAGGAAUACCCGCUGAACUUAA
rnacentral:misc_RNA from 1 species